AGUUGUUCUACGUACUUUUACAAUUUAAUAAAAUAAUUUAGAACGGUUUCAAUAAUCAAAUACUGAUCGUGUUAGUAGAAAAGUCCUAUCGACAAAGUCCAAAUCUAUUUAUGCAAAAAUAUUAAUAUUUUAAUGUAACUGUUUCUUUAAAAAAUUCUAUCGCUUGAAACUGAGAGCAACCGAUUUGGCGGGUUGGCGCUGCCCACAUUACGACAAGGAGUCAACGAGGCAAGCAGGAGUACUUCACAAUUUUCAGCCAAAAAAACAAAAGAAAAAUGUCUUCAGCAGAAAGCUCUGGAACUGGGACCCACCGCAUCGAGAGCUCAAACCACAACUCUUCCCGAUUACGAAG